UACGUAGGGUGCAAGCGUUGUCCGGAAUUAUUGGGCGUAAAGAGCUCGUAGGCGGUCUGUCGCGUCGACUGUGAAAACCCAAGGCUCAACCUUGGGCUUGCAGUCGAUACGGGCAGACUUGAGUGUGGUAGGGGAGACUGGAAUUCCUGGUGUAGCGGUGAAAUGCGUAGAUAUCUGGAGGAAUACCGGUGGCGAAGGCGGCAUCCUGGACCGAGAUUGACACUGAUGAGCGAAAGCUAGGGGAGCAAACGGG
rnacentral:rRNA from 1 species